GCUUGUAUAUGCACCUCUCUAUAAAUUGUUGCAUGUAACAAUGAACUAAUGCAACACUAAGCUAAGUUCAUAAUAAAUAAUUUUAGCUUAUUCUUUCUUUUGAUCAAACAAUGACUUAUGUUAAGCUUGUUACUUUGGCUGUCUUCAUGCUCACCACAUUCUUAAUCGUCCAGACGAAGAACGUUGAAGCAGGGAAAUGUCCAUCCGCGGAGAAAUAAUGGAGAGAGAAACUGCUGAGAGAGAAAUUGGAGAGAGAGGUCAAACUUCUCCUGUUUGAUAUGCCAAGAAACAAGGAAGAGAGAAAGUAUAAUGGUUGGACCCACCACCUUUACCUUUCUUCACUGAUGUGCGAAGAUAUACGGGAGAAAGCUCAUUCCUAUUUUCAUCCAUAAAUUUGGUUUUUUUUUACGAUAAGUAUGGUUUAUUUUUCUUCUCAGUAACACACAAAUAGUUUUUUUCAAAGGAUAGUAACAAACAUCUUAUUUUGAAAGACGGAGAGUAGUUCACAUAAAUAAUUGUUUGAAUAAUUUAAUUAUACUUUAGAUUACCAAAUAAAAAAAACGAUGACUUAAUUAAUUAAUUGAAAUUAGUUAAAGUAAAAUAAAAAUGUGAGAUUGAUAGUUUUUAAAUGAAGGGUACUUGAAUGUAUUCUUGGAUUGAAUUUCUUGCUGGGAGUCAUCUUGAGUGUCAUCAUAAGCAUUUUCAUCUUGUGCUUCUGAAGUUGGUUUAGCUUCUGGAGUGGGUUCAGAUUUAGGACUAUCUUCAGAUUCAGCUAUCUGAUCAGGUUCUGGAGUAUCUUCAGUAACCUGUAUAUCUACAAAAAUAUCUACAAAAAUUUCAUCUUGCAUUGAUUCUUCAACGCAGAGUGUCUAUGAAUUAUACACUCUGUAUGUCAUUGACCUUUCAGAGUAACCUAAAAAGAUUCCCUUUUGGGCCUUGUCAUCAAAUUUCUUUAGGUAGAGCUUGUUAUUUAGAAUGUAAAAGGUACAUCCAAAUUGAUGAAAGUAAGAGAUAUUGGGUCUUCUUCCCUUAAAGAGUUCAUAUACUGUUUUCUCCAAGAUAGGUCUAAUAUAGAUUCUAUUUUGGACAUAACAUGUUGUAUUCACUGCUUCUGCCCAAAAAUGUUUAGCCAAAUUGUUUUCAUGAAUCAUGGUUCUAGCCAUUUCUUGUAAAGUUCUAUUCUUUCUCU